rnacentral:misc_RNA from 1 species
GUGAAUCAUCAAAUUUUUGAACGCAAAUUGCACUCUCUUCUGAGAGUAUGCCUGUUUGAGGGUCAGCCUAAAAACAAUCGACAUCGUUGCUGUUUCACGGUGGCGUUCGGCGGGAAUUGGGUUAUCAUAAAUCUUUGGUUUAAUCGACUUAAAAUUUGCGUUGCGAUUACUUGUACGUUAC